rnacentral:lncRNA from 1 species
UCCUGGGUUCAGCUUCCCCUGUGAGAAGGACACAUAUAACAAUAAGAAAUUAAGGGUUCGGGAAGGAGAGGGGCCACCCUGUGCUCACCCCCACACAGCCCUGCAGGAAAACCCAGUGAACGGUGCCCAGGUGCCUGGCUGACUCCUGGGCCGGGAGGGGACAUGGAGGGACAGUGGCCAUCAGGCUCUUUGUGGACACUGGGGAUUAACUACUGCUCGUUCUCAGCUCACUGGUGUCCAGCCCAUCAAUAACCUCAUCAAUAACCUAACUUUGGUCAAUUAGGUUGGAGUCCGAAGGUGACUGAUUUGCGGCAAGGUUUUCUCUCUUCCUCUGUAAAGUGGAGUCCUUCAUCAUUCAUCGCAAGUAGACAACUCGCUUCCUAAUGCCUCUGCAUUAAGGAGCCAGGCGCUGCAGCUCUUUGGUACGUGACCUCAAAUAGAUUCAUGCGUCCUUCUGCUGACACGGGGGGCGGAGCGGCCGGGGUGCGCGGUAAAGAUGGGGCGGCGCGGCCGGGGCUCGCCAGCACCAGCCCUGGAACCCCAUGGGGGACCUCGACAACAGCGCCUUUGCGGCGUGGGCCCCUUUCUGCAGCUCCUCCACCCGCGCGCUGUCGGCUCCGGGACACUGGGGCUUUGAAGGGCGCCAGUUCCCAGCCGCACCUGCACGCCUAGGAGGGCGCAGGCCGCGUGUCCCUGUGGGAGGAAGGCCCCGGCAACCUGCAAAGACCUCACGUCACAGAAACUUGCGGCGUUUGCCCCCGAUGCGCGCGUCAGGUGCUCCGUCCCUUCCAGGUGGCAGAGGAGAGGGAAGGGUCGCGCCUGGUGGGGGCCUGAGAGCCACCGGGCUGCGGUGCGCGAGUGUGGACACCGCCCCGCCUUCUGCGUCUACAGCCCUGGGUUCUGGGACCUUUGGAAACCGCUUUGGACGAAGCUGAGCAUCUCUUUCCCCACGCUGACCUCCCCCAUAGACUCCGGAUGGGAGUAAAUGAGGGUCCUGGGAAAUCCAGAAACUCUAGAGAAGCUUGUUUGCCAAACCUUGCUUUGGGCGGUGGAGACAGAAUAUCAUGUCCCAGAUCAGCGUGUGGUGACUGUGGAGGCAUUUACACACAGCACACUCCAGCUCUGCCACUGGGCCGGCUGAGGUGGCUGCGGUACACGGCGCCCAUCCUGAGCCCCAGGUUCCUCACAUGUCAACAGCAUGAAAAGUGCCUCUAAGACAUCCACAGGUGUGCAGUGUUAAAGCAGGCAGCGCCUCAGCUUGGUUAGCUCCCUUAAGGACUGCGGCUCCCUUAGGACAAGGCUCUGUCCCUCAGAGCACUGAGUGCGAUCUCAUGCUGGCAUCUUAGAGACAUUGUAUUCACCAGGUAAGAUGGAUUCACAUCUGCUGGGUGCACGAACACUUCCUCCUUCCUUGCCACCAGCCAGCAUCACAACCAGCCUGGCCAGGCUCCCGUCCCAGCCCAGCCUAGCAGCUAACCCCAGCUCCAUCCCCCAGCAAGCCCCUCUGCCUGCACCUCAGCUUCUUCAUGGAAGACGAGUCAGGUCAUGAUGCCACCAGGGAGCGUGUUUCCAUGUUGAACUGAGACACUAAGCCCUUGACAAAUGUUGGCCAAGAAAAAAAAGGGGCUCCAAGAGGGGAGCUGUGGCUCAGGUAGAAGACGGUGAAUGAGCAUUGCCUGAAUCAGAGUUAGCUACUCUGGUUACACAGGUGUCCCCGGCAGGUUGGUCAAAAGCCCUUCCCUGAGUCCCGUGAUAAGUGUGGGGAGGGAGGCAAAUCAAAGACCCCUACACACCUCCUGCAUGGAUGGCCAGAGCGCUGGUCCCACCUCCUUCCUUCCAAACUGCAACCCCGAUCAGCACAGCAGAGAAGUCUCCUGUGGCAGGGACCAGUAAUUCAGUGCUUCCCCUGGAGAGUCUGGGAUUGCACAGAACACCAGAGGCUGGGGAUUUAUUUGUUCACCAACAUUCAUUCAACAAACACUUACUGAGGCCAACACUGGGAAUGGAGACGAACUUCCCUGUCCUCAUGGAGCUUGCUUUCAAAAGGGAAGGAGGCAGACAGUAAACAAAACAAGCAAGUCAAUAUACAGCAUGAUGCAGAAAAGGUGUGAUGCCACCCUCUUGCCUGAGUUUAUAACAAGCAGAUGAUGUUGUCCUAAGAAUUAAUUUCAGCCGGUGAAAGAGUACAGGCAAAAAACGUGGUCUCGGACUUUCCGGUGAUGCUUAAGAACAUAGUUGCAGUUUUUGUUCUGAUUCUUUGUGCAUCUCGCGCUAAUGAAGGAUUCUGCCAUGAUUGCCACCUCUGGAGACGUCACAGCCAGCACAGCCAUGACCAGGGAUGAACUUGGCCAUUGUCCAGCAGCACCAUGGGAGGACCAGCUGCUGUAAGUGAAGGUCAUCAUCCAUCUGAUUUGCUGGCUUUUUGCAACUACUGCGGUGGAAGUCUUAGAGUAGCCACCUUCUCUGUACUCAGACCUUCACUUCGCCAGAUGUCAGCACAGCAGUGUCAGCAGCUUCGUCAAACACAAACACCACCACCUCUCUGGAUCAGAAGCACAUGGAAAGCCCACCUUGCAAGAAGACCCAGCUAUUCCAAAAGUACCCAUAUCCCUGUAGCAUCCUCUUAGCUGAAUGUCUCUACUCCUUAAACUUGUACCACUUUGAAGAGUAAAAAUUUAAAUUCAUUCAUAUUAUCAUUUUUUAGUUUUUAGUAUAAGUGGAGCUGUUUAUCGGCCAUUUGUAUGUCCUUUUCUUUUUUUUGCAAAUUACUCCUUUGCCAAAUUUUCUCUCAAAUGACUCAUCUUUUUCUUAUUGAUUUGCAGAAGCUAUUUACAUAUUAUGGAUGUGGGGUGUCUAACAUACACAGCAAAUACUUUGUCCCAGUGUGUCACUUUUUAAAAAAAUUCUUAUAAUGUCUUUCAUCUUUAAAAAAUUAUUAAGCUAUUGUGAGCUUUUAUGCCUUUUCAGUUUAUUUUCUUACAUAGAUAAUUAUAUGAAGUGCAAAUAGGGGCAGUGUUAGUCUCAUCUUCCCAAGGCUGCACCUCAGAUGUGGAAUGUUGACAGCAACAUCUGUUACCUUGUUUCUGUUUUUAGGAUUUUAGCGUUAAGGCCAGGCAUAAUGGUUCAUGCCUGUAAUUCCAGCACUUUGGGAGGCCGAGGUGGGCAGAUCACUUGAAGCCAGGAGUUCAAGACCAGCCUGGCCAACAUGGAGAAACCCUCUCUAUUUUUAAAUACAUUUAAAAUGUUAACAAUUAAAACAAAAUAUUUUACCGUUAGUAUGAUGCUUGAUACAGGAUUUCUGGUACAUACGCCUUAUCAAAUUAAAUAAGUUUCCUUUUACUCUUGUUUAUUGUUAUUUUUUAAAAUAAGGAAUGAAUCUUGGAUUUUAGUGUAUCAAUAAUUAUAUUUUAUUCUUUAACUUCAUAAUAUUCCUUAUAAUUCCUUAUGUCAUAUUAAAGAUGUAAAUUCAUAUAUAUUUUAUCAUACAAAUGAUUAAUAAAUGUAUAAGCAUGUCAUUA